UGCUUUGUCUGAAGAGAAUUAUUCUUCCUUCUACUAAUGUAUAGUGCUUGCAAGAGGCACAGAUAUCCCUAAACAUCAAUGCCAGUCCUGUCCCACUGUGGCUUUGUCCUUUCAGCUCUUCCUGCACAAGGAGACCCAAGGCACAAGGAGACCCAGGGACCUUCCUCUCCAAAGCUGGCUUGUUCAUCACUUCCUGAUAAAAGUUUAGGCAAGCUGAGAGACUCCUGCUGAAUGAGUUACUACUUCAUCAUCUUGGUGCUAUUUGAAUGGCAUUCAUCAGCGCAGCGUGAACAGUCUCACAGCGUCUCUUCUCACAUCACAGCCAAAUAUGACUUACCUCUCCACAAAAAUGAAACUAGCAUUAAAUAACAACUUUCAAGUGAUGAGAAUAGAUGUGGUAGAAUUCUAGAAUCCAGGACUAUUUCAGGGUAAGCGAACCUGAGUAUUUGGCUUGCUUCUCCUCCAUCCCCUCCAAAAACUAAGCAUAUUUAUAUUCUCUGGCCUUAAUCAUCUUCCAUUUCCUGUACAGAGAGACAUUCCAAGUCAUAAAAUUACUCACUUUGUCACCCAUACUAAAAAGUCUAAGCAAAUACACAACACUGUGUUAAAGAACCUCCACCAGGUAAGAGUGUUUGUGAUGACUUUGAAAAACCUUUCAUGUACACUGUUCAUAAGCCCUCCACGGACAAGGAGAAGAAAUUCUUCUUAGUCAGGGAAGCUGAAGUAGAAUAGUAAGCGAUCAGCCUUCUAGCUGAACUAGUCUUUGUCAAUAAUCAGUAAUCUGUGUAAUACCGCGUAGCUACACAGUACCCAGAAAACCAAAAUGACAUUAUAUUUUUCUGGGUUUGUUCCAGUCUACAAGAUAGGUCAAGACAUGGCAAAGAACAGGUAUUGUGAGAUUAUAGCUGAAAAAAACCUUCUAGGGGAUUUCUGGAAUAAAUGAAUUGGAAGGAAAGAGAAUAUCUUAUGG
rnacentral:lncRNA from 1 species